AAUUGCUCCUGUAGAGGCGCAAUUUCUCUCAGACAAUGGAAGUCUCAGCACACAUACAUUCCUCACACAGAGCCAAAAAUCCAUAUCAAAUCAAAUCAAAAUAGCCGACUUCCUGUUGGUCGUAGCUAAUGACUGUAUAUUAGACAGUUGUCCGGCUUGAUAAGAACAAUAUAUGUACCGAGUCUGGUGUCUGUUGGUGUCAUGUUAUCUGCUUCAAAAUCAACAGAAAAUAAUGUUCAAGUUUGACAUGUUGCCAUGGCAACAAUAUUAUAGAUAUUAAUAUCCCCUCAAUAGUUUUGUAUCGGCCGUGUUUUGACAUUAUUCUGAUGAAGUUUGAAGCAAAUUGAGUAAAAAUACGAUGCUGAAUUCAAAGCAUUUUUAAAAUGACACACUUCCUGCUGUCAGUUGGUGGCGCUAUAACUUUGACUCCUAAUAGUUACAUCUAUGCGAUCGGCAUCAUACAUCGAACAAUCCGAUGAAGUUUGAUCUAAAUCAGAAAAUGUAUGUGGAUGUUAUUAGACAUUUCCUGUUUCUCAUUUUUUGCCCUAAUUUCAACGCCUCGCCAUGGACAAACCGUUCAAGAUAUCAAAAAUCCCCUGGCAAUUUUUCAUCCCCUAUGUCUUGAGAUCAUGUUCACCGAGUUUCGUGGAGAACGGGUGGAAAACCUCAGAGGAGUAUUUCAAAUUCCAGAGCAUGCUUUUUUGAAACAGCCCUGAAUAGCCGACUUCCUGUUGGGCGGAGCCUAUUGCAUGAAAAGGGAAAGUUGUUCGGCUCAAUGAGAUCUAUAAGUGUACAGAGUUUCAUAUAAAUACAUGCAAGUAUGUGUGAGCUAUGGUUCAAGAUAUAUGACUGUGUUCCAGGGGGCGCUGUAGAGCCCCUGUGCCACGCCCGGGUCCCAGUCUCUGCGGCGUCCUAAUGACCGCAGAUUCCAAUGUGUGUGCCAAUUUUCAAGAGUUUUUGAGUACGUUAAGGCUCCCAAAAAGACCCGUUUAGUCGAAAGAAAAAUAAAAAAAAUAAUAAUAAUAAUAAUAAUUAAAGCUGCAAGCAGCGAUGAACGGGCCCUCGCACCCGGGC
ensembl:lncRNA